GAUGAACGCUGGCGGCGUGCCUAAUACAUGCAAGUCGAGCGAACGGACGAGAAGCUUGCUCCUCUGAUGUUAGCGGCGGACGGGUGAGUAACACGUGGAUAACCUACCUAUAAGACUGGGAUAACUUCGGGAAACCGGAUCUAAUACCGGAUGAUAUUUUGAACCGCAUGGUUCAAAAGUGAAAGACGGUCUUGCUGUCACUUAUAGAUGGAUCCGCGCUGCAUUAGCUAGUUGGUAAGGUAACGGCUUACCAAGGCAACGAUGCAUAGCCGACCUGAGAGGGUGAUCGGCCACACUGGAACUGAGACACGGUCCAGACUCCUACGGGAGGCAGCAGUAGGGAAUCUUCCGCAAUGGGCGAAAGCCUGACGGAGCAACGCCGCGUGAGUGAUGAAGGUCUUCGGAUCGUAAAACUCUGUUAUUAGGGAAGAACAUAUGUGUAAGUAACUGUGCACAUCUUGACGGUACCUAAUCAGAAAGCCACGGCUAACUACGUG
rnacentral:rRNA from 1 species